AAGAGUCUUGGCUCUGGGGGAGAUGGAUGUGGUGAAGAAGGAGGUCAACACUCUCCUGCUGAGGACAGAGGCUUAGGUCACAGUGCUGGCUGGCCAGCUGCAAUGGGGACCAGCCAUCAAGGUAAACGCAGGCGCCUCAUGAUCUUCUGCAGUCUCCCCCACAAGCCUGGGCCUCCAGCACAGAGCAGGGCACCCCUCCCUGGCCUUCAAACCUGUGGCCCAUGAGAGGAGUGGCAGUGCCCAAGCGUGAGCCACAGAGACACAGACGAGUCACAGCAGUCCAGGAACAAGACGGCAUCCAGCUUGUGAGAACCAGAUAACGCCCACAUCCCAAGAACGAGUUGAAGAGUUCCAAGACUGACCAUGAGAUAAAUGCCUGGAGUCUGCAAGAUUGCACGUAGCAGCUCCCCAACAGGAAUGACCUCCCCCCUUGUUUCCCACACUCUUCCCUUUGAAAAGCCUUGCUGAGUCUCCUGAGCCCUUGAUGCAGUUUUAGGCAGGCUGUCCCCUCAGGUGUCUGAUAGUAAAGCUUCCAAACCUUGCAUCAACA